CGGCCUCUGCGGCUCGUGAGAGAAGGCCGGUGGAAAGAGACAGGGAGUACGAGCAGAAACGGAGGGAGACCCGGUAGAGAGCGAGGGAGUGAGACGAUCGCGGGGUCCGGGCCUGGGACGGCCAACACGGUAAUUGGAAGGACUGAAUGAAGGUGCUACACAAGCCAUUUUUGAUGUUUUAAGUUUUUUUAUACCGUUUUGAUAAGAAUUCCCACCAUGCCGUCCAAUUCUCCAGCCACCAAUACACUCCAACUUCCAGAGACUGACCCAGCCAACGACAUGAGUGAAGACGGAGCGGACCAUGACAGUCCUGAGGGGGUGGCCGCCAGUCUCCCUGCCCGCCGAGCCGGACGGCCCAGUAGGAAACGCAACCCCCAGUCUCCUGUGAGUGACAUCAUUAGCAGUAUCCAUGGCGCCAU